AGAUUGAACGCUGGCGGCAGGCCUAACACAUGCAAGUCGAGCGGUAGAGAGGUGCUUGCACCUCUUGAGAGCGGCGGACGGGUGAGUAAUGCCUAGGAAUCUGCCUAGCGGUGGGGGAUAACGUUCGGAAACGGACGCUAAUACCGCAUACGUCCUACGGGAGAAAGCGGGGGACCUUCGGGCCUCGCGCCAUUAGAUGAGCCUAGGUCGGAUUAGCUAGUUGGUGAGGUAAUGGCUCACCAAGGCGACGAUCCGUAACUGGUCUGAGAGGAUGAUCAGUCACACUGGAACUGAGACACGGUCCAGACUCCUACGGGAGCAGCAGUGGGAAUAGUUGGACAAUGGGCGAAAGCCUGAUCCAGCCAUGCCGCGUGUGUGAAGAAGCCUUCGGAUUGAAAGCUACUUUAAGGUGGAGGAAGGUUACGUAACCUAAGUACGUUAGACUAACGUUUGAACGUUACCGAA
rnacentral:rRNA from 1 species